rnacentral:tRNA from 1 species
AAAAGCAUAGUUUCAACGGUAAAACAUUCGCCUUGGGAGCGAAAGUUACAGGUUCAAGUCCUGUUGCU